rnacentral:lncRNA from 1 species
AGCUAGAAAGUGUCGACCAAUUCUCAGCAACCAAUUAGGAUUCAGCAAAAAUAUGUACAAAAUAUUAAACGCCUAUCGAUCAGUAUCAAGAACGAGCCAAUAACCGAAGUUUAGUUUUUUUUGGUAGCUUUUCAAUACCAUGUGCAGAUGAAAACAAUUUUCUUCUGCACAACCACUCAAAGUAAUCCUGGUGUUCACCAUGUUAAUUCAAUCAUCGUUAGAGCAAGUUUAAUAGUAUAGCCAACUACUAGCUCCAAUUCAUCUAUAGACAAUCUAAUAGCCAAUUCAUAUAAUAGUUACAUACAAAACAUCAAUACAUAGUCUCACAUGUCAUACACAUAUCUCUUUCUCUCUCUCCUCUCGUCUAUUUAAAAUAUGUUUAUAGUUGGCUUAUAGCCUGCUAUUGUACCUACUCUUAUAGGUGUGUUGCUUAGCACCCGAUCGAGCAUCUAAAUUCAACCAUGGC